AUACGGAGGGUCCGAGCGUUAUCCGGAUUUAUUGGGUUUAAAGGGUGCGUAGGCGGUUUUAUAAGUCAGCGGUGAAAUUUUCCGGCUCAACCGGGAUACUGCCGUUGAUACUGUAAGGCUAGGAUAUGGUUGCUGUGGGUGGAAUGUGUGGUGUAGCGGUGAAAUGCUUAGAUAUCACAAAGAACUCCGAUUGCGCAGGCAGCUCACUGGGCUACAACUGACGCUGAGGCACGAAGGUGCGGGGAUC
rnacentral:rRNA from 1 species